rnacentral:rRNA from 1 species
UGGAAAGAUUUAUCGGCCUUGGAUGGACUCGCGGCCUAUCAGCUUGUUGGUGAGGUAAUGGCUUACCAAGGCGACGACGGGUAGCCGGCCUGAGAGGGUGACCGGCCACACUGGGACUGAGAUACGGCCCAGACUCCUACGGGAGGCAGCAGUGGGGAAUAUUGCACAAUGGGCGCAAGCCUGAUGCAGCAACGCCGCGUGAGGGACGACGGCCUUCGGGUUGUAAACCUCUUUUGGUAGGGAAGAAGCUUUCGAGUGACGGUACCUGCAGAAAAAGCACCGGCUAACUACGUGCCAGCAGCCGCGGUAAUACGUAGGGUGCAAGCGUUGUCCGGAAUUAUUGGGCGUAAAGAGCUCGUAGGCGGUUUGUCGCGUCUGCUGUGAAAUCCCGAGGCUCAACCUCGGACGUGCAGUGGGUACGGGCAGGCUUGAGUGCGGUAGGGGAGAUUGGAAUUCCUGGUGUAGCGGUGGAAUGCGCAGAUAUCAGGAGGAACACCGAUGGCGAAGGCAGAUCUCUGGGCCGCUACUGACGCUGAGGAGCGAAAGCAUGGGGAGCGAACAGGAUUAGAUACCCUGGUAGUCCAUGCCGUAAACGUUGGGAACUAGAUGUAGGGGCCUUUCCACGGCUUCUGUGUCGACGCUAACGCAUUAAGUUCCCCGCCUGGGGAGUACGGCCGCAAGGCUAAAACUCAAAGGAAUUGACGGGGGCCCGCACAAGCGGCGGAGCAUGCGGAUUAAUUCGAUGCAACGCGAAGAACCUUACCAAGGCUUGACAUAUACGAGAACACUGUAGAGAUACAGGACUCUUUGGACACUCGUAUACAGGUGGUGCAUGGUUGUCGUCAGCUCGUGUCGUGAGAUGUUCGGUUAAGUCCGGCAACGAGCGCAACCCUCGUCCUAUGUUGCCAGCACGUUAUGGUGGGAACUCAUGGGAUACUGCCGUGGUCAACACGGAGGAAGGUGGGGAUGACGUCAAAUCAUCAUGCCCCUUAUGUCUUGGGCUUCACGCAUGCUACAAUGGCCGGCACAAUGGGCAGCGAUACCGUGAGGUGGAGCGAAUCCAAAAAACCGGUCUCAGUUCGGAUUGGGGUCUGCAACUCGACCCCAUGAAGUCGGAGUCGCUAGUAAUCGCAGAUCAG